UACAGAGGUCUCAAGCGUUGUUCGGAUUCAUUGGGCGUAAAGGGUGCGUAGGUGGCGUGGUAAGUCGGGUGUGAAAUUUCGGAGCUUAACUCCGAAACUGCAUUCGAUACUGCCGUGCUUGAGGACUGGAGAGGAGACUGGAAUUCAUGGUGUAGCAGUGGAAUGCGUAGAGAUCAUGAGGAAGACCAGUGGCGAAGGCGGGUCUCUGGACAGUUCCUGACACUGAGACACGAAGGCCAGGGGAGCAAACGGG
rnacentral:rRNA from 1 species